rnacentral:rRNA from 1 species
UACAGAGGUCCCAAGCGUUGUUCGGAUUCACUGGGCGUAAAGGGUGCGUAGGCGGUCGGGUAAGUCUGAUGUGAAAUCUCACAGCUUAACUGUGAAACUGCAUUGGAUACUAUCCGGCUCGAGGAAUGGAGGGGAGACUGGAAUACUUGGUGUAGCAGUGAAAUGCGUAGAUAUCAAGUGGAACACCAGUGGCGAAGGCGAGUCUCUGGACAUUUCCUGACGCUCAUGCACGAAAGCGUGGGGAGCAAACAGG